UACAGAGGGUGCAAGCGUUAAUCGGAAUGACUGGGCGUAAAGGGUGCGUAGGUGGUUAUUUAAGUUAGAUGUGAAAGCCCCGGGCUUAACCUGGGAACUGCAUCUAAUACUGAGUAGCUUGAGUAGAAUAGAGGGGAGUGGAAUUUCCGGUGUAGCGGUGGAAUGCGUAGAUAUCGGAAGGAACACCAGUGGCGAAGGCGGCUCCCUGGAUUCAUACUGACACUGAGGCACGAAAGCGUGGGGAGCAAAC
rnacentral:rRNA from 1 species